UACAGAGGUCUCAAGCGUUGUUCGGAUUCAUUGGGCGUAAAGGGUGCGUAGGUGGCGCCAUAAGUCGGGUGUGAAAUUUCGGAGCUUAACUCCGAAACUGCAUUCGAUACUGUGGUGCUUGAGGACUGGAGAGGAGACUGGAAUUCAUGGUGUAGCAGUGAAAUGCGUAGAGAUCAUGAGGAAGACCAGUGGCGAAGGCGGGUCUCUGGACAGUUCCUGACACUGAGGCACGAAGGCUAGGGGAGCAAACGGG
rnacentral:rRNA from 1 species